rnacentral:rRNA from 1 species
UACAGAGGUGGCAAGCGUUGUUCGGAAUUACUGGGCGUAAAGGGCGCGUAGGCGGCCUUCUAAGUCAGACGUGAAAUCCCCAGGCUUAACUUGGGAACUGCGUCUGAUACUGGGAGGCUUGAGUGCGGGAGAGGGAUGUGGAAUUCCGAGGUGUAGCGGUGAAAUGCGUAGAUAUCUGGAGGAACACCGGGUGGCGAAGGCGGCAUCCUGGACCGACACUGACGCUGAGGCGCGAAAGCUAAGGGGAGCAAACGGGG